UACGUAGGGGGCAAGCGUUGUCCGGAUUUAUUGGGCGUAAAGAGCGUGUAGGCGGUCAGGUAGGUCCGUUGUGAAAACUCGAGGCUCAACCUCGAGACGCCGAUGGAAACCAUCUGACUAGAGUCCGGAAGAGGAGAGUGGAAUUCCUGGUGUAGCGGUGAAAUGCGCAGAUAUCAGGAAGAACACCCGUGGCUAAGGCGGCUCUCUAGUACGGUACUGACGCUGAGAAGCGAAAGCAUGGGGAGCAAACAGG
rnacentral:rRNA from 1 species